rnacentral:rRNA from 1 species
UGCUGCAUGGCUGUCGUCAGCUCGUGUCGUGAGAUGUUGGGUUAAGUCCCCGCAACGAGCGCAACCCCUGCCCUUAGUUGCCAUCGGGUCACGCCGGGAACUCUAAGGGGGACCGCCCCGGACAACGGGGAGGAAGGUGGGGAUGACGUCAAGUCAGCAUGGCCUUUAUGUCCAGGGCUACACACGUGCUACAAUGGUUGGUACAAAGGGUUGCCAAGCCGUGAGGCGGAGCCAAUCUCAAAAAGCCAACCUCAGUUCGGAUUGCAGUCUGCAACUCGACUGCAUGAAGUUGGAAUCGCUAGUAAUCGCUGAUCAGCAGGCAGCGGUGAAUACGUUCCCGGGCCUU